UCAGUGCUCUUCCUCAAACAUCAUCUUUGAUGUUGCGGUCGGAUUCAGUACUGAUUUGUCAAUCUAUGAUGGUAAUUAGGCCUCAAUUUUUCUGGUGUGCUCAAUAUUUCGGUUUUCUAAUUAUUUGUUUCCAAUUCUUGAUCUUGUGCAACAUGUGUGCUUAGAUAGAUUAAAUUGCUAUAUAAGGGCUCUAUAGUCAUUAGGCUGCGUAUAGAAGAGAAAAGGUAACCAUAAAUUACAAUAUCUCUUCUCUGCAUGUGGUAGUGUUCUGGCAGAAUACAAUUGAAGCCACAUUUUUGCUACCUCCUCAAGGAUAUGGUUGAAACAACUUUUAGUACUCACUUCCUAGAUGUGAUACUGAUGUUUUUUGGAAAAUACAGAAAUUACUUUUGCUGCUGCCACAUGGUGCUCUUUCUUUCUUGAACAUCAUUACAGCCACUUCCGGACGUUCUGAUAUCAGGAGAAAAGUGCUCCUGCAUGGAAGCCUCACAGUUGGUGUUUUGUAUUUCCUUUUGUUUGCCAAGUAUUUGUUUUACCGCGGAAAUUGAGGCAAUGUUGCAAGUAUUACCAAUCUUUGCCUGAUAAAAUGCUGGUUCUUUUUCACUUUGUGAUAAUUGUUUUUUGUUACUUCCCCCUCCUGUUUGAUUUGUCUUUGUCUAACAGUUGUCGACGUGUUCUCUAACCCAUUCAAAACAAUAGCAUCUUCGUGUUUUUGUUUCCUAUACGAGCCUUCUAUUCACCUCCAAGUUUAGAUGUCUUCUUUCCUUUGCACAUCAUUUAUUCGAAAUUUCAAACUUUUUGGUGCUUUAUCAACUAUUUCAACAUUAUCAUGUUUAAAUAUUUAACUGUAAUUCUUUUUUUUAUCGUUUUCCCAUUUGAUUUGUUUUUUUGGGUUUAUGAAGGGUUUACUGUAUUCACAGAAACAUAAGUAUAAAGUUGCUAAUCAAGGAGACACAUUUCCUUAAGUUUUUUUUUUCCCUUUUUUUAUUUGCUCUUUUUCAAUUUUCUGUGUGCUUGUGGGUAUGUUUUCUUUUGCUGGGAUGCCUUUUCACCUAAUUAGGUUUUUGUUUUGUUGAAGGCAAUACCAACGUGUUAUUUGACCUUUUGCUGCUGUAAAGUUGGAUUGAGUAGAAUUUCCUUUCCAUUUUAACUGCAAAUGUGUAUGGUGUAUGGAGUUCUAUAUGCCUGCUUUAUGUUUUCUCAAGAGAUUAUGUUAGAUUUCUCAGUGCUUUAAUGAUCGCUCAAUUUUAUAGACAGCAUUACCUGAAACUUUUAUUCUUCAAUAUUAUAUUUUUACAAACACUAAUUAUUCACCUUGUGUACCCUAUAUAAUAGGUCCCAGUGUUAUGAAAGAUCACAGCAAAAGCGCCUGCACCUCGGCCAUCAAUGCAUCGCAUAUUGUUAAUAUAUAGAUAGAAUGUACAUAAAUAUCCUAUAAAUCUGUGGUCAGCUUGUUAAACUCAGCUCCUUAUCAAAUAGCAAUAAGCAUAUCUUUGUAAUCUUA